GCUUGCUGGGCGGAUUAGUGGCGAACGGGUGAGUAAUACGUGAGUAACCUGCCCUUGACUCUGGGAUAAGCCUGGGAAACUGGGUCUAAUACUGGAUACUACCUCUUACCGCAUGGUGGGUGGUGGAAAGGGUUUUACUGGUUUUGGAUGGGCUCACGGCCUAUCAGCUUGUUGGUGGGGUAAUGGCUCACCAAGGCGACGACGGGUAGCCGGCCUGAGAGGGUGACCGGCCACACUGGGACUGAGACACGGCCCAGACUCCUACGGGAGGCAGCAGUGGGGAAUAUUGCACAAUGGGCGGAAGCCUGAUGCAGCGACGCCGCGUGAGGGAUGACGGCCUUCGGGUUGUAAACCUCUUUCAGUAGGGAAGAAGCGAGAGUGACGGUACCUGCAGAAGAAGCGCCGGCUAACUACGUGCCAGCAGCCGCGGUAAUACGUAGGGCGCAAGCGUUGUCCGGAAUUAUUGGGCGUAAAGAGCUCGUAGGCGGUUUGUCGCGUCUGCUGUGAAAGCCCGGGGCUCAACCCCCGGGUCUGCAGUGGGUACGGGCAGACUAGAGUGCAGUAGGGGAGACUGGAAUUCCUGGUGUAGCGGUGAAAUGCGCAGAUAUCAGGAGGAACACCGAUGGCGAAGGCAGGUCUCUGGGCUGUUACUGACGCUGAGGAGCGAAAGCAUGGGGAGCGAACAGGAUUAGAUACCCUGGUAGUCCAUGCCGUAAACGUUGGGCACUAGGUGUGGGGGACAUUCCACGUUUUCCGCGCCGUAGCUAACGCAUUAAGUGCCCCGCCUGGGGAGUACGGCCGCAAGGCUAAAACUCAAAGGAAUUGACGGGGGCCCGCACAAGCGGCGGAGCAUGCGGAUUAAUUCGAUGCAACGCGAAGAACCUUACCAAGGCUUGACAUUCACCGGACCGCCCCAGAGAUGGGGUUUCCCUUCGGGGCUGGUGGACAGGUGGUGCAUGGUUGUCGUCAGCUCGUGUCGUGAGAUGUUGGGUUAAGUCCCGCAACGAGCGCAACCCUCGUUCUAUGUUGCCAGCACGUGAUGGUGGGGACUCAUAGGAGACUGCCGGGGUCAACUCGGAGGAAGGUGGGGAUGACGUCAAAUCAUCAUGCCCCUUAUGUCUUGGGCUUCACGCAUGCUACAAUGGCCGGUACAAAGGGUUGCGAUACUGUGAGGUGGAGCUAAUCCCAAAAAGCCGGUCUCAGUUCGGAUUGAGGUCUGCAACUCGACCUCAUGAAGUCGGAGUCGCUAGUAAUCGCAGAUCAGCAACGCUGCGGUGAAUACGUUCCCGGGCCUUGUACACACCGCCCGUCAAGUCACGAAAGUUGGUAACACCCGAAGCCGGUGGCCUAACCCCUUGUGGGAGGGAGCCGUCGAAGCKKRKWGUUUGWCCYUGGCUCAGGGAAAGUAU
rnacentral:rRNA from 1 species